AUUUUCUAUAGUUUCAGACUUUGAAUGGUUUAUUUUCCUGGCUCUGAGCUCCGAAGAUGCUUGCCACUUCAAUUUUAAAAGGAGCAGGAAGAUAAAAAAGUUGUCAGUUUUGCAAAAAAACAAAAAAGAAAAGAUGCCUUCCGUAUCCGGGAAAUUGAUUAAUGGGCAUCCCAGGCCGUUUAACAAUUAUCCUUGAGGAAUCCCCGAAUUGCAGCAGAAGACAAAUAAAAGGACACAUUGCGCAUUAUAGAAAGUAACUCGUAAUGCUUCCUUUGCAGUUGCAAGUUUCAGACUUUGAAUGGUUUAUUUUCCUGGCUCUACGCUCCGAAGAUGCUCGCCACUUCAAUUUUAAUAGGAGCAGGAAGAUAAAAAAGUGUGUAAGGCCAUGUGAUUUAUUAAGAGGACAACUAAUUUUGGCGACGCAUAUGCUAUAAAGGCAGAUGGUCGCAUACGGGAUAGAUAUCCAAAGCCGUUCAACAAUUAUCCUCAAGUGUAAGGCCAUGUGAUUUAUUAAGAGGACAACUAAUUUUGGCGAUGCAUAUGAUACAAAGGCAGAUGGUCGCAUACGGGAUAGAUAUCCAAAGCCGUUCAACAAUUAUCCUCAAGUGUAAGGCCAUGUGAUUUAUUAAGAGGACAACUAAUUUUGGCGAUGCAUAUGAUACAAAGGCAGAUGGUCGCAUACGGGAUAGAUAUCCAAAGCCGUUCAACAAUUAUCCUCAAGUGUAAGGCCAUGUGAUUUAUUAAGAGGACAACUAAUUUUGGCGAUGCAUAUGCUACAAAGAUGACCUGACCGUGGACAGGAAAUUAAUUGAUAGAUAUACCAGGCCGUUAAACAUUUAUCGUCAAGUGUAAGGCCAUGUGAUUUAUUAAGAGGACAACUAAUUUUGGCGAUGCAUAUGAUACAAAGGCAGAUGUACGUGUACAAGAUGGAUAUUCAAAGCCGUUCAACAAGUAUAUGGCAAUGUGAAUGACUAAGAGGACGACUAAUUUUGGCGACGCAUUUACUUCAAAGUGUGAAACCUAUAGAACCAUUUUUCUUUUCUUAAUUGGGGUAGAGCUAAAUCUAGCAAAAAUAAUUACCUCUUCCCGAUAUUGUUUCCCUAAUCAAAGUUAAGUUAAUUUAAAAUAUGGGCAGCCUGCGAUGUUUGAUCUACCAGGAAGGGAAAUGUUCCUUCACCUACGCAAUAUAAAGAUUUCCUAGUUAUUCUUAUACUAUAUAACUGAUUUUUUAUUAAUACAUUUAUAGUAACACAUGAUUUUAAACGGAAAAUUAAAUAAAUAAUUCUUUCAAAUAUUUCUACCGUA